rnacentral:lncRNA from 10 species
ACUGCCUCCAGCACAAAGAGCACCCCAGCCUCCUCAUGCUCCUCCUUCCCCAGGGCCUUGCCUGCGACCCAUCCCGAGGCACUGGAACGACAAAGACCCCUACCACCUGCAAGUGGAAGGAAAAGCAAAAACAAGAUACCCCUUUGUAUCCCUACUUCACUCGGAGUCCUUACAAUGGCCUAUAAGAUACUCCAUGAUCUGCUCCACUACCC